ensembl:lncRNA
CCACUCCUUUACACCGUUCCCCUCCCCUCUCUCUCUAGCGUGCUUACCAGGAGCCCUACCCAGCUCUCUUCCCGACCAUUCUGUGAAGCCCGGAAUAACACACACGCAGAAAAAGUGUAAGGCAGGCAGAGGAGAACACAGGAGGGGCGAGGAGAGUGGGGAAAACGCCCUGGAAACUCGGCUGGUACUAACAGAGUUCAAGUAUUUUAAACACCAAGUUGAGACUGUAAAGAAGUGAUUUUCACGGGCUGAGCCAGAAGGGGGGAGAGGACGACCUCCGAGGAUGCUCCGGCUGGUUUGAGACUGCUUGGCGCACGGUCUGCGCAAAGACUCUAGGAAGACGGGUGCUGAAGAUCUAGAACCAGGGAGAACGUUGGACCUGCUUGAGCAAUCCAAAGCGUGUUAUUUAUUAUUAUUAUGUUUUCUGUCUUGCUCUCUUUGCUUCGUG